rnacentral:lncRNA from 1 species
UAGAGGAAAGUGACGACCGGUGACGACGUUUCGGCCGCAACGUGACGUCUCGAGCAUCAGCGAGUGGUGGUUUCCCUCGUGCUAGCACUCGCAUGUCAUUACACUCCAGUGUAUAUAUAAAGCCAUCUCAUUGCGCUCCGUACAAAACAACUCGUUGACGCACUGUCCACUGAAGCACACGUCUGCAGGAUAGAAGCGCAAGGAUAACCAUGAAGGCUGUGUUGUGCCUGCUGGUGAUUUGCCUUAUACUGGCAACUGCCGUGGCGAUUAAGGGCUUCGGCAAAGGUUUUGGACAUGGUGGAGGAUUUGGCCAUGGAGGAGGAUACGGACACGGAGGAUUUGGUCACGGAGGUUUUGGCCACGGAGGCAAGUUUGGAAAGUUCCACGGGUAGUCUCCGACAACCAAGCAUGAAUUCAACAGAAACCCUUCAGACCUGCGCCAACCAGAGUUCCAGGAAGACCAGGAAACGAAAAAAAAGUACAAAGAUAUGAAAUCAUGAUACAAUAAAAAUGUCUUACUUCUGUA